GAUCCUGGCUCAGGAUGAACGCUAGCUACAGGCUUAACACAUGCAAGUCGAGGGGCAGCAUGAACUUAGCUUGCUAAGUUUGAUGGCGUACCGGCGCACGGGUGAGUAACACGUAUCCAACCUUCCGUUUUACCUCAGGGAGUAGCCUUUCGAAAGAAAGAUUAAUACCUGAUAGUAUGGUGGAGAUUGCAUUGAUAACAACCAUUUAAAGAUUUUAGUUGGGUAAACCGAUGGGGGAUGCGGUUCCAUUAGGUAGG
rnacentral:rRNA from 1 species